UUUAGGAGACAGCAGGAGAUUCCCGACCCCAAGCUGCUACUCAGAAAAAGCUGCAUGCAAGGGCCCCUCUUCUUCAGCAGGGACAUGUCACAGAUGACCUCUGCUUCCUCAACCAGCCCGCCUGCCUCAGCCUCCUGAGGGCUGGGGUUAUAGCCCCAGCAGCCUCAGCAGGUUUUAUUGAGUCUGGAACCCAGGCUAAGUCUUCAGAGAUGCCCAGCUCUAUUUCUGUCAACCGGUGCACAUGGAAUGAUGGGUUUUCUUACUCAUUCAAACCCAACUGGAGGGGUGAAACGGUGAGAAAACCCAUUUCCUCUUCAACAAACAUCUCUGACUCAUGUAACCAUCCUAAAAGAGGGGGAGGUGGGAAGGGGAAGUAGAGAAGGUCUCCUUUUGACCUGGCCUUGGGGAGGGCAAACCGAGGGGAGACUUCCCAUUCCUCUGCUCUUAGCACCAUCAGGGGACUGAAUACUCACUACCACAUAAAUCAUUCUCCUCCCCCUGCCUGUAAUCACAGAAUUUGGGAGGCUGAGACAGGAGGAUCACCAUGAGUUUGAGGCCAGCCUCUGCUACAUGUAUCCCUGGGGAGCAGGCACCUCUGUCCAGUUUGGCAGGUUCUGAGCAGUAGCAGCUGAAGCCAGGCCGCUGGGGUUCACCCACGUCUGCUUGUGACAUCAUCUGGGGAGAGCCUGGCCCUGUGGACGGACCCAAGGACAGCCUUCAGCUCCACCACCUGGGUGAGGAUGGGGCAGGGUACUACUACUCAGGAGCUGCCUUGUACCCAGUUCCAGGCCCAUGAGACAGAUGGUGGCACCUCCCUUGGUGCCACCAGAGAAGGAUCAAUGUUCUACAAAGUUGCCACCAAGGCUGAAUAAUCAGCAUCACUGCACAACUACUCCUAAGAGAAACACCCAGCUUGACUCGCCAUGCAGUGGAUACAUAACCUUGCUUUAUGCCGCUCUCUGUGUAAAGAUGCCUUUCAAAAAUCCGAUACAGAUUCACUACCGUGGAAUGCAUGAGCGCAGAGCUGAAACUCAUCCGCACCUGCGGAGGCUUCUUUGACGCGUUCUUCAUAACACACAUGGUAGCCAUCCUGCCCUUAGGAACCCAGACAGCACUUAGGGACCAUUUUAAGUAGUGAAAUCACUAUCUGGGAAUGGUGAUGCAUAUUCAAUAAUGCCAGUGACUCAGGAAGCUGAGGCAGGAGUAUUGCAAGUUCAAACCUCAUUUGGGGAAUUCAGUGACUUUCUCAAAAACUGGGGGUGAGGGCACUGAAAAUGUAGUGCAGUGGGGAAGCUCUGGUUUCAAUUCCCGAUACUCUAAAAAAAAAAAGGGCGAAAUCACCUAUAAAAAAGAUCAAAAAUGAAGAAAACAUGGCAUUCAAUGAACCCAAAGAGGAUACUCAUUUAGAGUAUGAGAGCUGAAAUGAAAAGGUAGCCUGUCCACCUCCACUGUCAAAGGGAAGCUUAAAUUACCAACACUCUAGAAUGUCUCCAGAUGACCACAAAAGCACUGCAAGUAUUUAUUAUGGACGGUGAGAUUUAUAGAUACGGACUAAUGUAAUGUAAUGAGGAUCCCCAUACCUGCAGGACAGGGCUGUUGAGGGCGGGGGCGGUCGUUAAAUGACACAUACACUCUGCCUCCCACCUGCUACAGUACAUGGCUCGUCACUGCACCCUGAUAUUUGGGCCCUCAACUGUGUCCCUUGGAAAGAUCUUUGCUCCUGGGGUCCCCCUUCAGUACCUUAUGCUUUAUCCCUUUCUCUGUCCCUACUGGUUCAUUCCUUUCCUGAUUAUGCCCAGCUUUAAAGAUCCUCCCAUGCAGCCUGGAAAUUUAGCUCAAGGGUACAGCACAGACCACAGACCUAGCACACACAAGGCCCUGGCUUCAAUCCCCAAUGUCACAAAACACAAUUAAAAACCACCGUCCAUUCAGGACUAGUUGAAACAAAUGAUUGUUUGUACCUGAAAAAUCACCAGCGUGCUUGGCCCAGGGAGUCUCUCCUCUUAACACGUUCUUACUUUGGCACUAGGGCAUCCACCCACCCUCCUUCCCCCUCGGUCCCUAGCAAUGACUCCACGGUCCUGGCUGGCUCUCACCCUCCCUGGCCUCUGCUUCAGUCCCUUUUCUUCUCAUCCUUGGGGGGAGGGUGGGUCUUGUCUAACCUGUGGCUUUCAGUUCCAUUAAACACUGCUGUCAUCACGUGCUUAUGUCCAGCCUGGGCCUCUCCCCUCUGCCCCAGACUACUGAGCCUUGUAGCAGACUGUCUGGGGUACCCAGCAAUGGCCCUGGAGGUACACAGAAUUACACUACACUGGUGCCUACAGCAGGGCCUCAGCCGACCCCAUAGGGUUUGGAGCUGUACUGAAAACGGCCAGGGACCAAGUCUUACUAUCCUCACAGGGACCGAAUGUGAGAUGCUCUAGCAGGGACUGUGAUCCCGGGGAGGGUCUGCUGCCAGUCCUUCUUGCUACAGGAGGAGAACGAGGCUGGGACUGCAGGGGCCAGGACCCUCAUCACAGCACGAAGACCACUUCUAGGAGGCGUCUCGUGUUAACACAUCCACAACCUGAAUGCAAGCUUCCCUCAAACCUGCUCUUUUCUCAGUCCCCAAAACCCAUCCCACCUCAGCAAAGGGUACCAACACUCAGCCAGGAGGUCAGGUGAGCCUCAGAGUAGCCCCAGAUGAGUCCCCACACUCAGCAGCAAGUCCUGCCAGACCCACAACUGCCACCAGCCCAGGCCACACUGCAAUCUGUCUCCCUGCUCCAAUGAACAGCCACCUGACAGGCCUCCCUAAAGCCAGUGCUGCCUUCAUGUAUGCACUGUACAGAGCUCUUUAAAAUACCAAGUAGGAGAGCUGGGGUGGUGGUACACACCUAUAAUCAGAGCCACUCAGGAGGCUGAGGCAGGAGGAUGGCAAGUUCGAGGCCAGUUUAGGUAAUUUAGGGAGAACUUGUCUCAAAAUAAAAAGGGCCAAGGAUAUAGCUCAGUGCAAAGGCCUUAGGUUCCCAGUACUGCAAAAGACAAAUAAACUAACAAACAAAUGAGAAAAUAAGGCCAGAGGUAGGGCAGCUUUCCCAGCAUAUGGUAUACUGGCACCCUGGGUUCCAUCUCCAGUGUGGGAAAAAGACAAAAACGAAAACACAAAACAGGGCUGGUCACUUCCCUCUGGAAAUCCCCUCCUGGCCUCCUCAGUUGUGUGCUCUGGCCCUCCACUCAGCCACAGCCCCAUUCUUCCCACAAAACCACCUAACAACCUGCUUGCCUGCCUUCAAGGUCUCUGUUUUUACGGACCUCACGCUCUGCUCCAGUCACCUGUCCCCUCUCUUCCCGAGGGAACAACACCGGCCAGUGCCCUCUGCCCUUUGCUGGGCCUUGUUUCAAAGCGCUUGUCUCCACCAGACGUACACCACGGCCACCUUCCGUGUUUUCAGUCCCACCUUCUUCUCCGGAGCACAUGGCAGCACCACUGAGUGAAGCUUUCGAGCUAACUGACGUUCACCGUGGAUAUUUAAGGUAUGCAAGACAUGAAUAGUCAAGCGGUUACUACGGUGGAACAAAUAACCAUUGUCUCCUACAGAACAGCUACCCUCUACUCACUUAGCACAAAUCCUGAAUUCACAGGCUGGGGCGUGGCUUGGUGGUACAGCCCCGUCUUAGGGCCCUGGGUUUGAUUCCUGGCACCCCGCACCGCAGACACAACACAUAUUUUUAGCUGUGGUCUUCAUAGUAUACAUUUGCUCUUUAGACUUGUCCUUUCUAUUUAUUUACCCUAACCCUAACUUGCUUUUUCCACCUUUCCCUGGUAACCAGCUUUAUUCUCCUCUGUACGUGUUUUAUGUAUUUGACUUUUUAAAAAAAGAGUCCACAGGAAGUAAGAUGAUGCAAUGUUUCUUUUCUAAAUGAAGCUUUAUUACGAUUAUCAUGACUCAGCUUUCAAGGAGCAGUGUGACUGCCAGCCUUUCCGUUCCCACCUCUGCCUCCACUGUAUGACACUGCUCUCUGCUCUUCGAAGGCACUGGGCCUGACCUGGCCCCAGGUAGCGCUCUGCCAGGGUUUAGGGACCUGGCCUCAGGUGAGAAGAUUCUUUCCUGCUUUUUAAAGCAGCAUUUGAGGGCUAACCCAAGGCACCUUACUGCCUGACAAGGCCACCUACUUUCAAGCCAGCUCAAGUGCCAG